AAUGAACGUUGGCGGCGUGGAUUAGGCAUGCAAGUCGAGCGAGAAGCUUCCUGCUUGCAGGAAGUGGACAGCGGCGAAAGGGAGAGUAACGCGUGGGUACCUGCCCUCAGGACUGGGAUAGCUGCGGGAAACUGCAGGUAAUACCGGAUAACGUCUUCGGACCAAAUGAAUUUCGCCUGGGGAUGGGCCCGCGUCCUAUUAGCUUGUUGGUGGGGUAAUGGCCUACCAAGGCUUUGAUGGGUACCGGGUGUGAGAGCAUGGCCCGGCUCACUGGGACUGAGACACUGCCCAGACACCUACGGGUGGCUGCAGUCGAGAAUCUUCGGCAAUGGACGCAAGUCUGACCGAGCGACGCCGCGUGCGGGAUGAAGGCCCUCGGGUUGUAAACCGCUGUCAGAGGGGAUGAAAUUUUGACAGAUCCUCAGAGGAAGUACGGGCUAAGUUCGUGCCAGCCGCCGCCGUAACAC
rnacentral:rRNA from 1 species